GACGAACGCUGGCGGCGUGCUUAACACAUGCCAGUCGAACGGAAAGGCCCUGCUUUUGUGGGGUGCUCGAGUGGCGAACGGGUGAGUAACACGUGAGUAACCUGCCCUUGACUUUGGGAUAACUUCAGGAAACUGGGGCUAAUACCGGAUAGGAGCUCCUGCGGCAUGGUGGGGGUUGGAAAGUUUCGGCGGUUGGGGAUGGGCUCGCGGCUUAUCAGCUUGUUGGUGGGGUAGUGGCUUACCAAGGCUUUGACGGGUAGCCGGCCUGAGAGGGUGACCGGCCACAUUGGGACUGAGAUACGGCCCAGACUCCUACGGGAGGCAGCAGUGGGGAAUAUUGCACAAUGGGCGGAAGCCUGAUGCAGCAACGCCGCGUGCGGGAUGACGGCCUUCGGGUUGUAAACCGCUUUCGCCUGUGACGAAGCGUGAGUGACGGUAAUGGGUAAAGAAGCACCGGCUAACUACGUG
rnacentral:rRNA from 1 species